UACAGAGGGUGCGAGCGUUAAUCGGAAUUACUGGGCGUAAAGCGUGCGUAGACGGUUAUUUAAGUCGGAUGUGAAAGCCCCGGGCUCAACCUGGGAAUUGCAUUCGAGACUGAAUAGCUAGGGUGCGGUAGAGGGAAGUGGAAUUCCCGGUGUAGCGAUGAAAUGCGCAGAUAUCGGGAGGAACACCUAUGGCGAAGGCAGCUCGCUGGGACGUUACUGACGCUGAGACGCGAAAGCGUGGGGAGCAAACAGG
rnacentral:rRNA from 1 species